UCCCCACACAAUAGAGAAUCCAUAAUUCUUUCUCUCUCUUCAUUCAGUUUUCUCUCUCCUCUUGCAAAUCCUCUCUACUAUCGGGCUUCAUCUUCUUCAACAUUCUCGUUGUCCUUGCAAAUAUCUUCGAAAAAAAAUUGCAACUCUUUUCCAAUUAAUUUGUCAGGCUGCCAAUUGGAGGGACAUUUUGGCUGUUAAUAUUGCAAAUUCUGGCCAUCUUGAUCCCGAAGAAUUACCUGAAAUAUGCAGGUAUGUUUGCACUUUGGCAGUAGCUAGUUGCCGUAGACCUGAUGCAGGAUGUUCGAAUCUGAAGUCAACUGUACAAGGUUGAAUUUUGUAGCAGGUCGAUACAUAGUCUGUUAUGCUAAGAGAGGUUCCUGAAUGAUGGGUUGGUUUUGUGGACUCUGUUGGAGUUUCUUAACUACUUUUGUCUUUUUUUCUUCUUUACUUCGACUGUCAAUUUACGCUACUUAUUAUCAGAUAGCAAUGAGAGUACACAAUAACAUAGACACGUAGCAAUGGCUUUAUUGCAUAUAAUUAAGUUUUUUUUACUUUUUGUAUUAUUUUAUUUACUUUUAAUGUGAAAACCUUUACUUUAAUCUCAUAUUACUUCUUUGUUAUUCUUA